rnacentral:rRNA from 1 species
CCUACGGGAGGCAGCAGUAAGGAAUAUUGGGCAAUGGAGGCAACUCUGACCCAGCCAUGCCGCGUGAAGGAUGAAGGCCCUAUGGGUUGUAAACUUCUUUUGUACGGGAAUAAACCUGGUUACGUGUAACCAGUUGAAUGUACCGUAAGAAUAAGCACCGGCUAACUCCGUGCCAGCAGCCGCGGUAAUACGGAGGGUGCAAGCGUUAUCCGGAUUUAUUGGGUUUAAAGGGAGCGUAGGCGGGAUUGUAAGUCAGUGGUGAAAGCCCGUAGCUCAACUACGGAACUGCCAUUGAUACUGCAGACCUAGAGUACACUUGAAGUGGGCGGAAUGUGUCAUGUAGCGGUGAAAUGCUUAGAUAUGACACAGAACACCAAUUGCGAAGGCAGCUCACUAAAUUGUAACUGACGCUGAGGCUCGAUAGCGUGGGGAUCAAACAGGAUUAGAUACCCUGGUAGUCCACGCCGUAAACGAUGAUUACUCGAUGUUGGCGAUACACUGUCAGCGUCUGAGCGAAAGCAUUAAGUAAUCCACCUGGGGAGUACGGUCGCAAGACUGAAACUCAAAGGAAUUGACGG